rnacentral:rRNA from 1 species
GAUGAACGCUGGCGGCGUGCCUAAUACAUGCAAGUCGAGCGAACGGACGAGAAGCUUGCUUCUCUGAUGUUAGCGGCGGACGGGUGAGUAACACGUGGAUAACCUACCUAUAAGACUGGGAUAACUUCGGGAAACCGGAGCUAAUACCGGAUAAUAUUUUGAACCGUAUGGUUCAAAAGUGAAAGACGGUCUUGCUGUCACUUAUAGAUGGAUCCGCGCUGCAUUAGCUAGUUGGUAAGGUAACGGCUUACCAAGGCAACGAUGCAUAGCCGACCUGAGAGGGUGAUCGGCCACACUGGAACUGAGACACGGUCCGGACUCCUACGGGAGGCAGCAGUAGGGAAUCUUCCGCAAUGGGCGAAAGCCUGACGGAGCAACGCCGCGUGAGUGAUGAAGGUCUUCGGAUCGUAAAACUCUGUUAUUAGGGAAGAACAUAUGUGUAAGUAACUGUGCACAUCUUGACGGUACCUAAUCAGAAAGCCACGGCUAACUACGUG